rnacentral:rRNA from 1 species
GGUUAAGCUACUAAGGGCAGACGGUGGAUGCCUUGGUAUCGGUAGGCGAUGAAGGACGCGGAAAGCUGCGAUAAGCUUCGGGGAGCCGCUAACAGGCUUUGAUCCGGAGAUUUCCGAAUGGGGAAACCCAGCCGGGGUAAUACCCGGUUAUCCUGCACUCAAUACAUAGGUGCAUGAGGCGAACGCAGGGAAUUGAAACAUCUAAGUACCUGCAGGAAAAGAAAAUAAUAAUGAUUCCGUCAGUAGCGGCGAGCGAACGCGGACCAGCCCAAACCGUAUACUUUUCGGAGUAUACGGGGUUGUGGGGCCCCGACAUGGGAUUGCGGAAGGAUAGUGGAACGGCAUGGAAAGGCCGGCCAUAGACGGUGAUAGCCCGGUACACGAAAUCCAGAAGCACUCUAGGGGUACCCCGAGUACCACGGGACACGAGAAACCCUGUGGGAAUCCGGGAGGACCAUCUCCCAAGGCUAAAUACUAACCGAUAACCGAUAGUGAACCAGUACCGUGAGGGAAAGGUGAAAAGUACGGGGGGACCCGAGUGAAAUAGUACCUGAAACCGUCUGCUUACAAGCAGUGGGAGCACUAUGUUGCUUGCAACAGUGUGACCGCGUGCCUUUUGCAUAAUGAGUCAACGACUUACCCUGUGUAGCGAGGUUAAGCCGCGAGGUGUAGCCGUAGCGAAAGCGAGUCUUAAUAGGGCGUUUAGUUACAUGGGGUAGACCCGAAGCCGGGUGAUCUAUCCAUGGCCAGGGUGAAGCGAAGGUAAUACUUCGUGGAGGCCCGAACCACUAUAGGUUGAAAACUGUUUGGAUGAGCUGUGGAUAGGAGUGAAAGGCUAAUCAAACUCGGUGAUAGCUGGUUUUCUCCGAAAUAUAUUUAGGUAUAGCCUCGUAUGUUUACUGACGGAGGUAGAGCACUGAUUGGACUAGGGGUCUCACCAGAUUACCAAACCCAUUCAAACUCCGAAUGCCGUCAAGUUAGAGUACGGGAGUCAGACUACGGGAGAUAAGUUCCGUGGUCGAGAGGGAAAGAACCCAGACCGCCAGCUAAGGUCCCUAAAUUCAUGCUAAGUGGAAAAGGAGGUGGAACUGCCCAGACAACCAGGAGGUUGGCUUAGAAGCAGCAAUCCUUUAAAGAAAGCGUAACAGCUCACUGGUCGAGUGGGGCUGCGCCGAAAAUUCAACGGGGCUUAAGCAUGGUACCGAAGCUGCGGAUUUCAGAGGACAGAGUACAGAUGACAGAAGACUACCCAGAAGACAGAAGACGGAAGACAGAGAACAGAUUUUUUUAAUCUGACAUCUGCCCUCUGAAAUCUGUCAUCUGGAACUGGCUUCGAUAUUGUCUGGAUCUGGAAUAUAUUGAUAGAGAGACAUGGCACCGAUGGCGAGAAGAGUAUCAGGAGAUAAGUAAGAUGUUACAGGGACUGCACAGAAGUUGGAAAUAGUUUUUAUC